CGGCACCGCCCCCCGCGGUUCUCUGCUUCCCGGAGGGAGCCGAGCUCCCGGUGUCCCCGGGGAGGGCGAGCCCCCAGGCUACCGGGUGGCCCUGGCCCAGUCCCCAGCCGGCGGGAGCGAGGGGAAGGCUCUGACGGGCGGGCGUCGGGUGUCCUGGCGCUUCCCUGUGGACUGACCCCGAGCGCGAAAAGGUAACAGCCGCCCAGACGCCCGCCCGCCGCUGCCAGGGCCGCGGCUCCCGCGCGGUUCCCUGUGGUGUGCUGGCUCCGAAAGCUGGCCGGACCUUGGGGCUCCUUCGCCGGGACGUGGGUUGAAGCAGCCACCGCAGCGAAGCGCGCCUCCUGCUCGAAUUUGCCAGCAUUCCUAGGCAGGCAAAUCGCUGCCUUCUCUCUGCUGGGAACCCUGGCAAAGAUUUUGAAAAGCUGAAAACACUAAGCAGUUUGGUUCAUUAAGCCUAAGCAAAGAAUCCAAGACAAUCGAAGAGAGGUAAAGAAAUAAAAAAAGAUUUUUUCCUGAUAUAUGAUUAUUCCAGUAUAUGAGAUAUAUCAUUCCAAUAU
rnacentral:lncRNA from 1 species